UGCGUAGGCGGUUCGUUAUGUCUGUGGUGAAAGCCCUGGGCUCAACCUAGGAAUGGCCAUGGAAACUGGCGGGCUGGAGUAUGGCAGAGGGGGGUGGGAAUUCCGCGUGUAGCAGUGAAAUGCGUAGAGAUGCGGAGGAACACCGAUGGCGAAGGCAGCCCCCUCGGGCUAAUACUGACGCUGAGGCACGAAAGCGUGGGGGAGCAAACA
rnacentral:rRNA from 1 species